UGAUAGAAACACCUGGGACUACACGUCCGGGAGCGAUCUCAGUUGGGAGUGUCCAUCUAUCUCCCUUGGUUUUCAGUGCUGGGCAGUAGCGAAGCGACUAGUUUAAUUAUAUUCUCUAGUAGCUUGGUCGUAGCGUCACUACUAUGUAUCGAGUAGCUAACGUCCCUGUAGUUAAGCUAUUUUUCCUCAAGUAGCGACGUAGUCUACAAAAGCUACAAUUUGUCCCCCAUCGAUUUUACUCAAUGAUUUUUGUUUUACUUUCUCUAUCCUGAAACCUAGGCAGUCACACAGGGGUUCCAAGACCCACCUGCGUAAAAUCAAGUCAAAGGCUGCUGUCUCAUAAUAUGGCGAAGACGAGUCACCUGAAGGCCUAACUCGCCAUAGAAGACUGAAAGAAUGUAAGAUUAACUUCUUUGUGACCAAUAUGACUUGCUCAUUGAUACAUUUGCUAUGUCAAUAUGAGGUGCAUGGCGAAUUAUUUAAUUUAUUUGUCUCGCUUCUAGGAGCUGUAGAAACAACAGGGUGUUCUUUUUCAGGGUAUUCUUUUUUAUAGAACUGGACAGGUCAUUUAUUCGUUCCCCUUGUUUUUUGAAGUGUCCUGCAGGAUGCUGUGUCCUGCAAUCCUGUGUGCUGUGCUACAGACGCGUGUGGAGGUCAACCCAAAAUGGGCACAGUCUCACCACAGAAGAGUGAAAGAGGAUCCUGGCAGGGAGACGGUAGUGUCCUGCAGAAUGGUGAUGGGCCAAUCUUACAAGAGACCACAGAAAACUGAUAUAGUGAACUAUAGAAACAACAGAGUGCCUGCUGCAGUAUGACGAGGACACCCUGAGCAGAGAGCUCCAAUAGACCCAGGUCCAGUGUCUUGGCAGGGUGAAAUGGCACUGAUAUGGUGUCCUGCAGGAUGCUGUGUCCUGCAAUCCUGUGUGCUGUGCUACAGACGCGUCUGGAAGCCAACCUGAAAUAAGCACAGUCUCUCCACAGAGGAGUGAAAGAGGGUAAGCUUAACCUAUAGCCUACGUCAGUGGUGGGGAACCUUUCUCAUUCGAAGGGCCAAUUCAAAUUCAUCCGAGGGGCCGUAAAAGUCCUCCAAGGGCCGUACUAUGAACACAAACCAGGAUUUCCCCCUUCACUUUAGACCUAUAUUGAAGGCAGCCACAUUUAAACAAACACCACCUUCUUCAGCUUCCCUGAAUAUAACUUAAUUGUAUUGCAAAUGUAUUUUCUAAGGUUCCUUUACAAAAUAUGUCAUUUUAUGUGAAGCUGAAUAACAUUAAAAUUAUAUCGGGGACCAGAUAAAACGGCCUCAAGGGUCGC